rnacentral:rRNA from 1 species
UGCCUAAUACCAGCAAGUCGAACGGGGUGCUUGCACCCAGUGGCGAACGGGUGAGUAACACGUAUCUAAUCUACCCAUUAGCGGGGGAUAACAGUUGGAAACGACUGCUAAUACCGCAUACGACAUUUUUUGGCAUCAGAGAAUGUUAAAAGGUCCGUUUGGAUCACUAAUUGGAUGAGGAUGCGGCGUAUUAGUUAGUUGGUUGGGUAAUGGCCUACCAAGACAAUGAUACGUAGCCGAACUGAGAGGUUGAUCGGCCACAUCGGGACUGAGACACGGCCCGAACUCCUACGGGAGGCAGCAGUAGGGAAUUUUUCACAAUGGGCGAAAGCCUGAUGGAGCAAUGCCGCGUGACUGAAGACGGUCUUCGGAUUGUAAAGGUCUGUUGUAAGGGAAGAACAGUAAGUAUAAGAAAUGAUACUUAUUUGACGGUACCUUACCAGAAA